UAACAUGUGCGCGAGUCAUUGGGUUGACACUAAACCUAAAGGCGCAAUGAAAGUGAAGGUCCUGCCCUGGUGCGGACCGAGGGAAGAUGGGGCGCGCUGCUCGCGCGGCUCCCGCAUUCCCGGGGCGUCUCGUUCUCACUGCGAGUUGAGGCGCACCCAGAGCGUACACGUUGGGACCCGAAAGAUGGUGAACUAUGCCUGGCCAGGACGAAGUCAGGGGAAACCCUGAUGGAGGUCCGUAGCGAUUCUGACGUGCAAAUCGAUCGUCGGAGCUGGGUAUAGGGGCGAAAGACUAAUCGAACCAUCUAGUAGCUGGUUCCCUCCGAAGUUUCCCUCAGGAUAGCUGGUGCUCGAACGAGUCUCAUCCGGUCAAGCGAAUGAUUAGAGGCCUUGGGGCCGAAACGACCUCAACCUAUUCUCAAACUUUAAAUGGGUGAGAUCUCCGGCUUGCUUAAAUUCUUGUAUGAAGCCGUGAGAUUUUUACUUUGGAUCGGAGUGCCAAGUGGGCCACUUUUGGUAAGCAGAACUGGCGCUGUGGGAUGAACCAAACGCAGAGUUAAGGCGCCCGAAUAGACGCUCAUGGGAAACCAUGAAAGGCGUUGGUUGCUUAAGACAGCAGGACGGUGGCCAUGGAAGUCGGAAUCCGCUAAGGAGUGUGUAACAACUCACCUGCCGAAGCAACUAGCCCUGAAAAUGGAUGGCGCUGAAGCGUCUUGCCUAUACUCUGCCGUCAGCACGGCAAUGAGGGGUGCGCGGAGCACCUCGUGUGUUCCCGCCCCGUGAGGCCCUGACGAGUAGGAGGGUCGCGGCGGUGAGCGCAGAAGGGUCUAGGCGUGAGCCUGCCUGGAGCCGCCGUCGGUGCAGAUCUUGGUGGUAGUAGCAAAUACUCCAGCGAGGCCCUGGAGGACUGACGUGGAGAAGGGUUUCGUGUGAACAGCCGUUGCACACGAGUCAGUCGAUCCUAAGCCCUAGGAGAAAUCCGAUGUCGAUGGGGUCCGAGACACCUAAGAGUUUGGACCCCAUGGGGCGAAAGGGAAUCCGGUUCCUAUUCCGGAACCCGGCAGCGGAACCGUAACAAGUCGGGCCCCUCGCAAGAGUAGCUCGUCGGGGUAACCCAAAAGGACCCGGAGACGCCGUCGGGAGAUCGGGGAAGCGUUUUCUUUUCUGCAUGAGCGUUCGAGUUCCCUGGAAUCCUCUAGCAGGGAGAUAGGGUUUGGAACGCGAAGAGCACCGCAGUUGCGGCGGUGUCCCGAUCUUCCCCUCGGACCUU
rnacentral:rRNA from 1 species